UAAAUAAUAUAUGUUUUUGGUACUUCGUGUUGAAGUUUAAUAGGGAAAGUGGUGAAAGACCAUUACAGCCCCCGCUACUGUAAGCGACUACAAAGUGACAUAACCACUGGAAUAAAGUUCUGGGAAGGGUCAUGGAGGUUAUAAAUCGCAAGUCAGGAGACCUGCCAUGAACAUACAUGCAUC
rnacentral:ncRNA from 2 species